GUUUUUUUUGUUUGUUUGCAAACGAGAGAGCUUAAAACCGCCGGGGCCCCAGACAAGGGUCGGUCAGCUCCCUCUGCACAUACCAUCUGAAGGCUGGUAACAGCUUUCAGUCGCUGCAAGCCUGGAGUGCGAGAGUGUUCUCCCUGCUUUGCAGCAGCAACGCCACACGCUAUUCUGCUGGAGAUCCACACAUUUGUUGCUUACACAUACUGUCUCACAGAUGCGGCUAUGCAGACCAAGCACUAACAAAGAGGCAGACAGCUUGGCUUUUUUCGAGGCACUAAAGCCCACUGCCAAAGGAAGAGGAAGAAGGGAAAAGAUUUUUUUUUAAUCUAACUAUUCAUAUAUGUAUAGCUGAAGCUGUCACCACCCUAAACUCUGGGAUGGGACUGUGUGUCUGAAUAUUUAUAUUCCUGCUCCCUGUCUGCUCAUCACAUUUACAUUCUGCAGUUCCUCCAGGGAGCUCAACGCAGCACACAUGCUGCCAUCUCACUUUAUCCUUAAAAGAACCCUGCAAGGCUUACCAUAAAGAAGUCUGAGAGCCCUUCUUCCAGGGCUGAGAAGGAGCCCUUCCAGGAGAGAAGGUGACAGAUGGAAAGUGCUCAGGGGCAGGCCCUUGACAUUCUGAGGAAUAAUGCUCCGUUAGUUCCCU